AUACGGAGGAUCCGAGCGUUAUCCGGAUUUAUUGGGUUUAAAGGGUGCGCAGGCGGCCAUUUAAGUCAGCGGUUAAAUCGUGGGGCUCAACCCCAUUCUGCCGUUGAUACUGGGUGGCUUGAUUGCGGUCGAGGUUGGCGGAAUUCGUUGUGUAGCGGUGAAAUGCAUAGAUAUGACGAAGAACACCGAUUGCGUAGGCAGCUGACCAGACCGCAAAUGACGCUCAUGCACGAAAGUGCGGGGAUCGAACAGGAUUAGAUACCCUUGUAGUCCGCACAGUAAACGAUGAAUACUUGUUUUCGGCGAUAUAAUGUCGGAGGCAAAGCGAAAGCGAUAAGUAUUCCCCCUGGGGAGUACGCCGGCAACGGUGAAACUCAAAUGAAUUGACGGGG
rnacentral:rRNA from 1 species